rnacentral:rRNA from 1 species
UACGUAGGGGCAAGCGUUGUCCGGAAUCAUUGGGCGUAAAGAGCGUGUAGGCGGUUCGGUAAGUCGGCUGUGAAAGUCCAGGGCUCAACCCUGGGAUGCCGGUCGAUACUGCCGGACUAGAGUUCGGAAGAGGCGAGUGGAAUUCCCGGUGUAGCGGUGAAAUGCGCAGAUAUCAGGAGGAACACCGGUGGCGAAGGCGGGUCGUCUGGGCCGAUGACUGACGCUGGAGGAGCGAAAGCGUGGGGAGCGAACAGG